GGUCGGAAAUCGUACGUAGAGUGUAAAGGCAAAAGAGAGCUUGAUUGCAAGACAUACAGGUCGAGCAAGGAUGAAAAUCGGACUUAGUGAUCCGGUGGUUCUGCGUGGAAGGGCCAUCGCUCAACGGAUAAAAGCUACCCUGGGGAUAACAGGCUUAUCUCCCCCAAGAGUCCACAUCGACGGGGAGGUUUGGCACCUCGAUGUCGGCUCAUCACAUCCUGGGGCUGUAGUAGGUCCCAAGGGUUGGGCUGUUCGCCCAUUAAAGUGGUACGCGAGCUGGGUUCAGAACGUCGUGAGACAGUUCGGUCCCUAUCCGUCGCAGGCGUAGGAAAUUUGAGAAGACCUGUCCUUAGUACGAGAGGACCGGGAUGGACG
rnacentral:rRNA from 1 species